rnacentral:rRNA from 1 species
GACGAACGCUGGCGGCGUGCUUAACACAUGCAAGUCGAACGGAAAGGCCCUGCUUUUGUGGGGUGCUCGAGUGGCGAACGGGUGAGUAACACGUGAGUAACCUGCCCUUGACUUUGGGAUAACUUCAGGAAACUGGGGCUAAUACCGGAUAGGAGCUCCUGCUGCAUGGUGGGGGUUGGAAAGUUUCGGCGGUUGGGGAUGGACUCGCGGCUUAUCAGCUUGUUGGUGGGGUAGUGGCUUACCAAGGCUUUGACGGGUAGCCGGCCUGAGAGGGUGACCGGCCACAUUGGGACUGAGAUACGGCCCAGACUCCUACGGGAGGCAGCAGUGGGGAAUAUUGCACAAUGGGCGGAAGCCUGAUGCAGCAACGCCGCGUGCGGGAUGACGGCCUUCGGGUUGUAAACCGCUUUCGCCUGUGACGAAGCGUGAGUGACGGUAAUGGGUAAAGAAGCACCGGCUAACUACGUGCCAGCAGCCGCGGUGAUACGUAGGGUGCGAGCGUUGUCCGGAUUUAUUGGGCGUAAAGGGCUCGUAGGUGGUUGAUCGCGUCGGAAGUGUAAUCUUGGGGCUUAACCCUGAGCGUGCUUUCGAUACGGGUUGACUUGAGGAAGGUAGGGGAGAAUGGAAUUCCUGGUGGAGCGGUGGAAUGCGCAGAUAUCAGGAGGAACACCAGUGGCGAAGGCGGUUCUCUGGGCCUUUCCUGACGCUGAGGAGCGAAAGCGUGGGGAGCGAACAGGCUUAGAUACCCUGGUAGUCCACGCUGUAAACGGUGGGUACUAGGUGUGGGGUCCAUUCCACGGGUUCCGUGCCGUAGCUAACGCUUUAAGUACCCCGCCUGGGGAGUACGGCCGCAAGGCUAAAACUCAAAGGAAUUGACGGGGCCCCGCACAAGCGGCGGAGCAUGCGGAUUAAUUCGAUGCAACGCGUAGAACCUUACCUGGGUUUGACAUGGAUCGGGAGUGCUCAGAGAUGGGUGUGCCUCUUUUGGGGUCGGUUCACAGGUGGUGCAUGGCUGUCGUCAGCUCGUGUCGUGAGAUGUUGGGUUAAGCCCCGCAACGAGCGCAACCCUUGUUCACUGUUGCCAGCACGUUAUGGUGGGGACUCAGUGGAGACCGCCGGGGUCAACUCGGAGGAAGGUGGGGAUGACGUCAAGUCAUCAUGCCCCUUAUGUCCAGGGCUUCACGCAUGCUACAAUGGCUGGUACAGAGAGUGGCGAGCCUGUGAGGGUGAGCGAAUCUCGGAAAGCCGGUCUCAGUUCGGAUUGGGGUCUGCAACUCGACCUCAUGAAGUCGGAGUCGCUAGCAAUCGCAGAUCAGCAACGCUGCGGUGAAUACGUUCCCGGGGCU